UUUCAUAACAUGAUCUUGCGAUCUAUCUACAUGACAAUAAUAAUCGCACUGUAAAAACUAUUGUAACCAGACGACCAAAAAGUUGUGCUAUUGAAAAUUAUUGAAACGAAAUCGCAAGAUACUUGCGAUUACAACUUUUUUCAAGAAAAUGAAAUAAAAAGAUAAACUAUUCUAUUUUUUGACAUAUUAUCCAUAACAAAUGGUGUAUAAAGUUCUGCUACUCGAUAUUGAAUGACAAAAAUAAAAUCAAUCAACAAAAUAACAAGUUUGCAGUUGCAUGUUGACAUUGUUGUUGUUCUAUUGAUAUGCUAAUCAAACACCACCUCACAAAUUGUUUACCUCACAGUCAUGACGAAACAUAGAAAUAGUUCCUACUUUAAGUGUUGGCAGAAUAUGCUGUUCUGAUUGCAGAGGUAUGGGAAAUGGAAAGAAAGAGAUACAUGUACAUACAGAGACUGUUUGAAUUUAAGGUGUAAAAAUGAGCUACAUGUACCAGAAAAGAUGUUGAAAAUACCAGGUCUGGACCUUUGUGGCUGCAUGCAAUUAAUUCUGAAAUACCAGGAAACAAGAUGUAGCUGCACAGCAGACAUGGCAGAUCUUUAAAUUCCUAAUAGGCAUCAACUCAACAUUUUCAAGCUGCAUAUAAAAAGAAAAGCAUUCCUUUUCAUAGAAUCCAAGAAUUUUUUUAACCAAGUCAAGUGGUUAUUAGACCUGUUAUCAUGAAAAUACUAACAUUUAUAUUAGUAUUUACAGUCACAUGUAAUAUCCCAAAUAUAAGAACUAUUUGGUAUGUGUGACUAUCUUUCUUCUCAUGUCAUGUUACAUGUAUGCUCAGAAUAUUUUAAUGUCACAAGGAUAUGAAAUGGAUAAAUGAUAUAUUGUCAACCAUUUAAAUAAAACAGACAGGCUCACAUAUAAAUUAACUGUCUAUGUGAAAGUUCAAGUUGACUAAAAUUGUCUAGAAUUAAAAAAAGCAUAUAUCCAAAAGUACAGAAUUGCCUUUCUCAGAAAUUUUGUAUGUUUAAUAGAAUGAUACUUGUAGCUUC